ACCGUGCUUGCACGGUCGGAUUAGUGGCGAACGGGUGAGUAUCACGUGAGUAACCUUCCCUUGACUCUGGGAUAAGCCCGGGAAACUGGGUCUAAUACCGGAUACGACCAGUCCUCGCAUGGGGUGCUGGUGGAAAGAUUUAUCGGUCUUGGAUGGACUCGCGGCCUAUCAGCUUGUUGGUGAGGUAAAGGCUCACCAAGGCGAUGACGGGUAGCCGGCCUGAGAGGGUGACCGGCCACACUGGGACUGAGACACGGCCCAGACUCCUACGGGAGGCAGCAGUGGGGAAUAUUGCACAAUGGGCGAAAGCCUGAUGCAGCGACGCCGCGUGCGGGAUGACGGCCUUCGGGUUGUAAACCGCUUUCAGCAGGGAAGAAGCGAAAGUGACGGUACCUGCAGAAGAAGCGCCGGCUAACUACGUGCCAGCAGCCGCGGUAAUACGUAGGGCGCGAGCGUUAUCCGGAAUUAUUGGGCGUAAAGAGCUCGUAGGCGGUUUGUCACGUCUGCUGUGAAAGCCCGGGGCUCAACCCCGGGUGUGCAGUGGGUACGGGCAGACUAGAGUGCAGUAGGGGAGACUGGAAUUCCUGGUGUAGCGGUGAAAUGCGCAGAUAUCAGGAGGAACACCGAUGGCGAAGGCAGGUCUCUGGGCUGUUACUGACGCUGAGGAGCGAAAGCAUGGGGAGCGAACAGGAUUAGAUACCCUGGUAGUCCAUGCCGUAAACGUUGGGCACUAGGUGUGGGGGACAUUCCACGUUUUCCGCGCCGUAGCUAACGCAUU
rnacentral:rRNA from 1 species